rnacentral:lncRNA from 1 species
GGUGGAUAAAGUCUCUCUGUCCACAGGACUCUGAUUUUCUGGCUCAGGGAACCAGUCCCUCCAGAGGCCCUGAAUAUCUCCUGCCAAAAAAACUAGAACAAAGGGAGAUAUUUCUGUGUGAAAUCUCCCUUUUCCCACACUUCAUACACGCUAAGAUACAGACUUGCAAUAGAGAAGUGAAAGCUUGAGUAUUUUACUAAUUAGCAUAAACUACAUCAACUUGGCAGAUUUGCAUAAUGUGGAACCUCAGCUCAAAGGUGACAGGUGUUUCUGAUUACACCAGAUGAGAUAUAUGGAGUGCUGAAGGUACUAGUUGUGUUUUUUUUUCUUGGCUUGAUAACACUGUUAGCUAUGGAGCUAGAAACAAAACUAUAGCAGUUAUGGUGAAAAGAAGAUGGAAAAGCUCCUGAUGAAGAGAAAAUAAAGAUGGAUGAGUAUUAUCUCAAAAGGUUGACCUAUGGACCCUGCCAAAAAAAAUUUUCCAUGUGAACUUGAGUUUGCAAGGCCCUUUUUUUCAGUCCCGAAAACUCUGCGUUCUGAAAAAGGACAUCUGUGAUAAGAUGGAACUUGGCACCAGUAACUCAUGUACUAUGGGUGAAGCAUGCUCAGAAGAGGCAGACCCAGAGGUAAUUUUUCAUCAAAGAACUUUUUAAAGCCAUUAUUAAAACUAGCAUAAAUUUCCUCUGCUGCUGGCAGCUUCAACGAACAGGACAGGAUUGAUUUGGGUAUGGCAGUCGAACUUUUUUCCUUAUUUAUAUGUAAGGCCAGAUUCUCAGCUGGGAUGAAACAGUGCAAACUUGCUGGCU